CGUUGUGAAGCCAUUGUAUCUUCAAUAUGCUAAUUUAUAGGAAGACUAUGUCUUUUGAAGAGGACUAUGAGGGUUUAUGAUCAAGUUAAAAAAGUUGUUCCAGUGAGUAAGAAAUUGAGUAUGUAUGAGAUCUAAAUAGCUUGUGCAGCUGAGAUAUUUGGUGUUCCAAUAACUUGAGAAGAACCUAGGAGAAAUUGAUCAUGCCUGUGCACUAUACAAGCACUCGUCUCAAUUCGCAGACCCUAGAUCUAACCCUGAUUUCUUGAACAAGUGGCAUGAGUUUGAGGUGAAACAUUCUAACAAAGAUAUCUUUCGCAAGAUGCUCCAUGUGAAGAGGAGUGUAUCUGUAAGCUACAUCCAGUCUGCUCAUUUGGAUCUUUGAAGGUACUUCAAAACUCCUUUUCAAAAGAUUUGGUUUGUGGAAUAGCAAACAUUGGCUACUGCGAUAAAAGGUAUAUCUUAAGCUCAUUUGUAUUGAUCAAUCAAGAUGUAUUUGAAGAUUCAAAUAAUCUAUAUUUUUUUCAGAAAACAAAGGAGAAUCUUGUGUUGGCCUUGGGAUCAGACAACUCAAAUAUGCAUGCAAGAUAUUGGCUUUCAAACUUCAUCUUAAGUACUAUGUCCCUGGGGCAUACAAAGCUAGUGACAGAGGGGCUGCUUUGUUGGUGGAAGCUGCCGCAAUGAAGCUCAAUUUGAAUUAGGUUGUCAUUUAAGAGUUGAAGUGUGAUUUUCUUUAAAGUAAUUUUCUUAAGAAGAAUGGCUAUCCUAUACCACCUAAUAUUCAUGCUUUAAUUUGAUCUUUCUUUUUCGCAGUUCUGUAGCAUUUCUAGCAGUUGAGAUUGGAUUCUAGCAGUUAAGA